AAAUGACUCUCGGCAACGGAUAUCUCGGCUCUUGCAUCGAUGAAGAACGUAGCGAAAUGCGAUACGUGGUGUGAAUUGCAGAAUCCCGUGAACCAUCGAGUUUUUGAACGCAAGUUGCGCCCAAAGCCUUUUGGUUGAGGGCACGUCUGCCUGGGUGUCACAU
rnacentral:rRNA from 1 species